rnacentral:rRNA from 1 species
GACGAACGCUGGCGGCGUGCUUAACACAUGCAAGUCGAACGGAAAGGCCCUGCGUUUGUGGGGUGCUCGAGUGGCGAACGGGUGAGUAACACGUGAGUAACCUGCCCUUGACUUUGGGAUAACUUCAGGAAACUGGGGCUAAUACCGGAUAGGAGCUCCUGCUGCAGGGUGGGGGUUGGAAAGUUUCGGCGGUUGGGGAUGAACUCGCGGCUUAUCAGCUUGUUGGUGGGGUAGUGGCUUACCAAGGCUUUGACGGGUAGCCGGCCUGAGAGGGUGACCGGCCACAUUGGGACUGAGAUACGGCCCAGACUCCUACGGGAGGCAGCAGUGGGGAAUAUUGCACAAUGGGCGGAAGCCUGAUGCAGCAACGCCGCGUGCGGGAUGACGGCCUUCGGGUUGUAAACCGCUUUCGCCUGUGACGAAGCGUGAGUGACGGUAAUGGGUAAAGAAGCACCGGCUAACUACGUG